ensembl:lncRNA
GGGGCCCCGUGGGUCACAGAGCACAUGGGGGCCCCGUGGGUCACAGAGCACAUGGGGGCCCCGGGGCCACAUGGGGCACAUGGGGGGGCCCCCGUGGGUCACAGAGCACAUGGGGGGGCCCCCGUGGGUCACAGAGCACACGGGGCCUCUUGGUCUCUCUGAAGCUAUGUGUUGUGGGCCAACAAUACAGAUGAGGCCCAGACUUGAUGGAUCCCUACCCAGGCAGUGGGGCACUAAGAUACACCCAGAAUGGGUGGGACAGGAAGACUGAUGCGCUCUGGGACCAGAGAGUAAUGGGCUAGUGGGGCCUGACCCAGGAGGGGGACAGAGGACUGACUGGCUGGAGACUGACUGGCUGGAGACAGAGGACGGACUGGCUGGAGACAGAGGACGGACUGGCUGGAGACAGAGGACGGACUGGAGACAAGGUGAGGUCCUGGGAACUGCUCAGUUGAGUCCCAAAUGUCAAUGGCACUCUAUUCUCUCUAUAGUGCACUACUUUUGACCGGGGCCAGUAGGAUGUGUGCCAUUUGGGACACGGCUAGAUGAGGUUUCCUGACCUGGCUCUGAUAUUGGCCUAGAUGGCUCAG